rnacentral:rRNA from 1 species
UACGAAGGGGGCUAGCGUUGCUCGGAAUCACUGGGCGUAAAGGGUGCGUAGGCGGGUCUUUAAGUCAGAGGUGAAAUCCUGGAGCUCAACUCCAGAACUGCCUUUGAUACUGAGGAUCUUGAGUUCGGGAGAGGUGAGUGGAACUGCGAGUGUAGAGGUGAAAUUCGUAGAUAUUCGCAAGAACACCAGUGGCGAAGGCAGCUCACUGGCCCGAUACUGACGCUGAGGCACGAAAGCGUGGGGAGCAAACAGG